GCGGCACUAGCGCGGUGUUCCCACCUGACCCCAUGCCGAACUCAGAAGUGAAACGCCGUAGCGCCGAUGGUAGUGUGGGGUCUCCCCAUGUGAGAGUAGGGAACUGCCA
rnacentral:rRNA from 1 species